GUCCACGCCCUAAACGAUGGGCACUAGGUGUGAGGACUGUUAAAGUCCUCGUGCCGAAGCUAACGCAUUAAGUGCCCCACCUGGGAAGUACGGCCGCAAGGUUGAAACUCAAAGGAAUUGACGGGGGCCCGCACAAGCGGUGGAGCAUGUGGUUUAAUUCGACGCAACGCGAAGAACCUUACCUGGGCUUGACAUCCGGAGAACCCCUUGGAAACAAGGGGGUGCCCGCAAGGGAGCUCCGAGACAGGUGCUGCAUGGCUGUCGU
rnacentral:rRNA from 1 species